CCUACGGGUGGCAGCAGUGAGGAAUAUUGGUCAAUGGACGAGAGUCUGAACCAGCCAAGUAGCGUGAAGGAUGACUGCCCUAUGGGUUGUAAACUUCUUUUAUAUGGGAAUAAAAUGUUCCACGUGUGGGAUUUCGUAUGUACCAUAUGAAUAAGGAUCGGCUAACUCCGUGCCAGCAGCCGCGGUAAUACGGAGGAUCCGAGCGUUAUCCGGAUUUAUUGGGUUUAACGGGAGCGUAGGUGGGUUUUUAAGUCAGUUGUGAAAGUUUGGGGCUCAACCGUAGAAUUGCAGUUGAAACUGGCAGUCUUGAGUACAGUAGAGGCAGGCGGAAUUCGUGGUGUAGCGGUGAAAUGCAUAGAUAUCACGAAGAACUCCGAUGGCGAAGGCAGCUCACUGGACUGCAACUGACGCUGAGGCACGAAAGUGUGGGGAUCAAACAGGAUUAGAUACCCCUGUAGUC
rnacentral:rRNA from 1 species